rnacentral:rRNA from 1 species
GACGAACGCUGGCGGCGUGCUUAACACAUGCAAGUCGAACGAAGUGGCGAACGGGUGAGUAAUACGUGGGUAACCUGCCCUCCCUUUUGGGAUAAGCCUGUGAAACGGUGUCUAAUACCGAAUAAAGGGUGAUGGGCUCGCGUCCUAUGAGCUUGUUGGUGGGGUGAUGGCCUACCAAGGCGGUGACGGGUAGCCGGCGUGAGAGGGUGACCGAGCACAUUGGGACUGAGAUACGGCCCAGACUGCAACGGGAGGAAGCAGUGGGGGGUAUUGCGCAAUGGGCGAAAGGCUGAUGCAGCGACGGCGCGUGGGGGAUGAAGGCGUGCGGGUUUUAAACCUAUUUGGCUAUCGAAGGGGUAGGUGGAGAAGAAGCGCCGGCUAACUACGUGCCAGCAGCCGCGGUAAUAC